GCCCAGAUGGCGGAAUCGGUAGACGCGCUGGUCUCAAACACCAGUGGGGCAACCCGUGCCGGUUCGACCCCGGCUCUGGGUACUA
rnacentral:tRNA from 3 species